GGGGAUAACACUUGGAAACAGGUGCUAAUACCGCAUAAUAGUCGACACCGCAUGGUGUUGAUUUGAAAGACGCUUUCGGGUGUUACUGAUGGAUGGACCCGCGGUGCAUUAGCUAGUUGGUGAGGUAACGGCUCACCAAGGCGAUGAUGCAUAGCCGACCUGAGAGGGUGAUCGGCCACACUGGGACUGAGACACGGCCCAGACUCCUACGGGAGGCAGCAGUAGGGAAUCUUCGGCAAUGGACGAAAGUCUGACCGAGCAACGCCGCGUGAGUGAAGAAGGUUUUCGGAUCGUAAAACUCUGUUGUUAGAGAAGAACAAGUAGGAGAGUAACUGCUCUUACCUUGACGGUAUCUAACCAGAAAACCACGGCUAACUACGUGCCAGCAGCCGCGGUAAUACGUAGGUGGCAAGCGUUGUCCGGAUUUAUUGGGCGUAAAGCGAGCGCAGGCGGUUUCUUAAGUCUGAUGUGAAAGCCCCCGGCUCAACCGGGGAGGGUCAUUGGAAACUGGGAGACUUGAGUGCAGAAGANGAGAGUGGAAUUCCAUGUGUAGCGGUGAAAUGCGUANAUAUAUGGARGAACACCAGUGGCGAAGGCGACUCUCUGGUCUGUAACUGACGCUG
rnacentral:rRNA from 1 species